UACGGGGGGUGCGAGCGUUGUCCGGAAUCACUGGGCGUAAAGGGCGCGUAGGUGGCCUGAUAAGGGUGUGGUGAAAGUCCGGGGCUCAACCCCGGAUCUGCCGUGCCGACUGUUGGGCUGGAGUACUGUAGGGGCAGGCGGAAUUCCGGGUGUAGCGGUGGAAUGCGUAGAGAUGUGGAGGAACACCAGUGGCGAAGGCGGCUUUUUGGUCUGUAACUGACGCUGAGGCGCGAAAGCGUGGGGAGCAAACAGG
rnacentral:rRNA from 1 species